GUUUUUUCCUUUCUCUUUUUCAGCAAAUUUCUUUCCAGAUUUCUUCCAAAUCAAGAUGAUAUUCACGCGAUUAGUCAUCUCUCUCCAGUUUGGAUGAUAUUCCAAUGAUAUUCACGCUAUUUUCAUCCAAAUCUGGUUUGAGAAGCAGUUCUGCAAGCCAAUCGAUGUCCAUGAAGAAGAAGGUCGUGAAGUUGAUGACCAAACCAUUGCGCCGGUCAUCAAUUUUGAUCUAGAUGUUUUUCCAAAAGGGGAACAUCGACAUGUUUAGCUGGAAAAUAAUGCGUGCCUUGGCGAUACUCGACCAAAGGUUCAGCAAGUGAUUUUGCAUGCCAUUUGGUGUCCAUGAGAGAAGGCUAUAAAGUUGAACAUCAAACGAUUACGUCGGUGUAAAAAUUGUGGAGAAUUGGGUCACCAUGACUAAUGGCUGACAAAUUUACCUCAUGAAUUUCAUAUGUAAUUGUGUGCAUAAGUUUGGAGUGUAUUGUAACUAAAAUCCAUGGAUUUCGUGAAUUUCAUUAUGCAAGUCGAAAUGUAAUUGAACCCAUGAAUUUUGAUUUGUAAUUGAACUCAAUGAAUUUAAUCUGCUCCGAUUUGUAGCAAUUUA